rnacentral:snoRNA from 1 species
AUUGAGGUCUACCUCGGUAAGGCUUCUCCAGUAGCCACACAUUGGAGACACCUCACAUGGCAACUUGUGGAUUUGCUUGACUCAAAACUGUUUAAUCCGCCUGC